CUGGCUACUAUGGAGACGCACUGGCCCGGGACUGCAAAGGUUUAUGUGUGUUCCCAAGAGUGCUCCUGUGACCGGCAUGGGGACGGGGGUGACCAAGCGCCCUCUGGACAGCCCGUGUCUCUGUGAACCACUCACAGGCCAGUGUCGUGUGCCCGUGUUGGGCGGGCGCGGUGGUCACGCUGUGUGACGAGUGUGCCGACAGCUUCUGGAACAUUAAGGGAGAGUCUGGGUGCCAAUCAUGCAAAUGUGACCCUACCAACUCCUUCAAUUACCACUGUGACAAGGUGUCUGGUCAGUGCCAGUGUCGUACUGAGUUUGGAAGCAGACAGUGUAAUGAGUGUGGGGAGAAUCACUUUGGGAACCCUGGCCUGCGCUGUGUCACCUGUGACUGCAAAUGAAGGGUACCGACCGGCCUGCCUGCGACCCAUUGACGGGUGAGUGCCUGUGCCGCAUUGGUGUGAAGGGAAUCUUCUGUGACGAGUGUGCCCCUGGGUAUGACCAAGUCUUUCCUGCCUGCACCCUGUGCCAACCCUGUGCCGUCCUGUGCCGUCCUGUGGGUGGACAACGUCACCGAUGUCCAGCGUGCCGCCCAGAGGAUGCAAACCUUUAUGCCUUGCAAUGGCGAGCAACUGGAGCCAGGAUACAGUCGUCGGUGGCAACGCAAGCUGGAGAUGCACUCCAAGUUGGACUAUCUGGUGAACCUGACUGGGAGAUUUCUACCUCGGGUGAAGGAUGUGGAG
ensembl:lncRNA